ACCCCGUUACUGCUGACAGUGAUGCGCCACCUGCUGGUGGUGUUUCCGUACUGCAGCGCCACAGCGCUCAUGCUGUCGGUGUAUCGACGCAGGUCCCCAGGGAGGAAGCAGCCUGUUUCCAUGACGAUGUCCCCGACCAGCAGGGAUGAUGACCCCAACUAUGACGAUGUGGACGCUGAUGUCACCACCGAGCAUCAUUUCUAAACGUUCUCUCCUCAUGUACAUUUUAAAUACUUUAAAAAAGAUGUUUUUCUAUUUUUGUACAUGAUACGGCUGGAGUCGUUUUGGUUUGUGUGAUUAUUAUGUCUCUCAGGGCCUCCUCCUGCUCCUCCU